rnacentral:rRNA from 1 species
CCUAAAUGACUGCUCAAUGAUAAAGGAGGUGGGGGUGCAAGACAGCCAGGAGGUUUGCCUAGAAGCAGCACCCUUUAAAGAGUGCGUAAUAGCUCACUAAUCGAGCGCCCUUGCGCUGAAGAUGAACGGGGCUAAGCGAGAU